rnacentral:rRNA from 1 species
AUGGUCAUAAUCGGAACAUGUUCAUCCCACGGUUUAAUUUGGCUUAUCCUUGUUCAUAUUCUUUGGCUUCUUCUUAUCGGAACCUAUUCAUUAUCCUUUCCAGUUGAUCGCCGGCAAGGCUCAACCGACUCCGAUGAGCAUGCUCGGCCUAAGAAGAAGAAGACCACCACCAAGAAGAAGCGGGCACCAUCCACCAGUCUGUCGGCCUCGGAUCUAGAUGAUGCGGACUAUGUUGGGGAGGAAGAGGAUGACAGUGCACCAAGACAGUCUGUUGGACAGUCCAAGCCCGGUACUAGGAGGGCGCCGGUGCCUCAAGUUCGUGGUUCUGCAAUGCCCAUUGUCCCUGGUCGUCGCAUCUCCAUGGAGCUUCCUGACAGUGGAGGUCGCCCCACUCACGACUUCACAACUGUGGGGGCGGGGCAAUAUCUUCAGUUUCGUCGGGAUGUCAAUCAAUAUGAGAUGGUGGCUGAUGCCGAAGAUCCUCGGUUCCGGACUCGUAUGCAGCAGGAUCUCUAUUCCAGUUUCGUCCAUGGGCGUGGACUUGCUCCUCACUCAUCCUUGGAUCUCAACUUUCUGCGUGACAAUCCUGCCUUUUUCCCUAACAAUCCGGUCAAGAUCAUUGACGAUAUGACUCUUGGUCCUGCAAUGACCUUCAGGUGUGACUGGAAUGAAGCUGCCAUUCUACAGUUCUAUGCCACCUGUUUCUUUGGUCCGGACAACACUCUCACCUGGAGGACCGAUGACACUACACUGACGAUCACCUAUGACAGGUUUGUUUAG